GAUGAACGCUGGCGGCGUGCCUAAUACAUGCAAGUCGAGCGAACAGACGAGGAGCUUGCUCCUCUGACGUUAGCGGCGGACGGGUGAGUAACACGUGGAUAACCUACCUAUAAGACUGGGAUAACUUCGGGAAACCGGAGCUAAUACCGGAUAAUAUAUUGAACCGCAUGGUUCAAUAGUGAAAGACGGUUUUGCUGUCACUUAUAGAUGGAUCCGCGCCGCAUUAGCUAGUUGGUAAGGUAACGGCUUACCAAGGCGACGAUGCGUAGCCGACCUGAGAGGGUGAUCGGCCAAACUGGAACUGAGACACGGUCCAGACUCAUACGGGAGGCAGCAGUAGGGAAUCUUCCGCAAUGGGCGAAAGACUGACGGAGCAACGCCGCGUGAGUGAUGAAGGUCUUCGGAUCGUAAAACUCUGUUAGUAGGGAAGAACAAAUGUGUAAGUAACUAUGCACGUCUUGACGGUACCUAAUCAGAAAGCCACGGCUAACUACGUG
rnacentral:rRNA from 1 species